CCGAACUAGUGAAAUUCGACAUAGACACUUCCUUCCUGGAAAACUCCACUUUUGUCAGUUACGAGUUGUUCGAGAAGCUAUUCAAGUGUUAUGGUCAGCCACACUCGAACAAAACGAAAGCACACUUUUUUCCGGCCACAACACAGUCCCUGUCGGCGCACCAAUGUCAAAGAUAAACGAAAAAGGAGUGUGAGAUGAAGAUGCGUCUAACAAGAAGUCUCCAAGACCACUCCUCUCCGACUUCACAUAUGGAAAUCCGGAGUUGCAUUACAAUUUCCUGUGUGUGUGGGAGUCCAUAUACUGUCUGCCAUCGACAUCUCAAUGAAAGAACUGUGCUCAAAAUUAGACGAACUGCAUCCAGCUCGUGAACUUGUUAAUCAAUACGAUAUUUCUGUCAAACCGACUGGUAAGGAAUGCAGUGCCGGGGACACAUCAGGCGACCUUGCAGAAGGCAAUGACUCCAGCGAACCCGGACCACGGCUCUGAAAAUGGACAUCGUCUGAAUGACAUUAAUGUGGUGGCUAGAGGAAUAUCAUUAUCGAAGAUUUGGUACGAAUAAGGGAAUGGAGUUGCAGCACAGAAAACCAAUCACGGCGAAGUGCAAAUGGACAUGAUCGUCAGUGCCUUGGGAGAAGAUAACAUUCAACGUAGAGAUAUUAGGUUCGAGCCAAGAUUUAGUGAGUAGACUGAGACGGCAUGGAGCACUCGAUUUAUUGUUUCUGCUCGAAAUCUAUGGAUACUUCGUUAUAUGAUUCUGCUGGAAUCAUCUGAAAAAUGCACCAAAAUAUGAAUGUUGAGAACAGACAUGAAAAUCAUAAUCAUAA